rnacentral:rRNA from 1 species
CGCUGGCGGCGUGCUUAACACAUGCAAGUCGAACGAUGAAGCCCUUCGGGGUGGAUUAGUGGCGAACGGGUGAGUAACACGUGGGCAAUCUGCCCUUCACUCUGGGACAAGCCCUGGAAACGGGGUCUAAUACCGGAUACCACUCCUGCCUGCAUGGGCGGGGGUUGAAAGCUCCGGCGGUGAAGGAUGAGCCCGCGGCCUAUCAGCUUGUUGGUGGGGUAAUGGCCCACCAAGGCGACGACGGGUAGCCGGCCUGAGAGGGCGACCGGCCACACUGGGACUGAGACACGGCCCAGACUCCUACGGGAGGCAGCAGUGGGGAAUAUUGCACAAUGGGCGAAAGCCUGAUGCAGCGACGCCGCGUGAGGGAUGACGGCCUUCGGGUUGU